AUUCCAGCUCCAAUAGCGUAUAUUAAAGUUGUUGCAGUUAAAAAGCUCGUAGUUGGACUUCUGGGCCGUUUUGUUGGUCUGCCGCAAGGCUGUACUAGCGGGAUGGCCCAUCCUCUCGAAGGCUGGGGGUGCUCUUAACUGGGUGCUUUCAGAACUCGGGAUCUUUACUUUGAAAAAAUUAGAGUGUUCAAAGCAGGCUUACGCUUGAAUACAUUAGCAUGGAAUAAUGGAAUAGGACUUUGGUUCUAUUUUGUUGGUUUCUAGAACUGAAGUAAUGAUUAAUAGGGAUAGUUGGGGGCAUUAGUAUUUAAUUGUCAGAGGUGAAAUUCUUGGAUUUAUGAAAGACUAACUUCUGCGAAAGCAUUUGCCAAGGAUGUUUUCAUUA
rnacentral:rRNA from 1 species